rnacentral:rRNA from 1 species
UGGGGAAUUUUGGACAAUGGGGGAAACCCUGAUCCAGCCAUCCCGCGUGUGCGUUGAAGGCCUUCGGGUUGUAAAGCACUUUUGGCAGGAAAGAAACGUCAUGGGUUAAUACCCCGUGAACCUGACGGUACCUGCAGAAUAAGCACCGGCUAACUACGUGCCAGCAGCCGCGGUAAUACGUAGGGUGCAAGCGUUAAUCGGUAUUACUGUGCGUAAAGCGUGCGCAGGCGGUUCGGAAAGAAAGAUGUGAAAUCCCAGAGCUCAAGUUUGGAAAGGCAUUUAUAACUGCCGGGCUAGAGGGGGUCAGAGGGGGGGGCAAUUCCGCGUGUAGCAGUAAAGUGCAUAGAUAUGCGAAGAAACACCGAUGGCGAAGGCAGCCUCCUGGGAUAACACUAACGCUAAUGCAAGAAAGGGUGGUGAGCAAACGGG